AAUGAGCGGCACAAGAGCCAGUGAAUCUCCAUCCAGAAAAAUAACAGCCACUAGGAUCUGUGAGAUCUCCUGAGUUUUUUUCCCCUCAGGCAAUGACUUUAAAGACCUGAUGACGGUGAAGUCAUGAAUAGACACUGAUAUGGUGGGGAACAUUAGAGUCCUGAAUAUGGUCUGGUUAAUUUUGAUUUUGAAGAUUUAGCUGGUAUUUUGAUUUCCAUGUCAGUUGUGGAGAUUUAUACUUUAUUUUGUGGGUGCAGAGAAUUCAUAUAUUGGAAGCAUUAGAGGCCUUCAGUGAUAUGGAAAUGGUGGGAAAUUUCCUUCAAGAUGACCGAGAAUUCAACGAAAAUGACUACGAAAUGCUGUUGGCACUUGAUGAGAAUAAUCAUCGACAUGGUGGUGCAUCUCUGGAUCAGAUCAACAUUUUGCCGCAGUCGAUCGUUCAGGGUGACAAUUUUGAAGAAGCGUGUGCAAUUUGUCUCGAUACUCCAUCCUCUGGGGACACGAUAAGACAUUUGCCUUGUUUGCAUAAAUUUCACAAAGACUGUAUUGAUCCAUGGCUUAGACGAAGAACAUCAUGCCCAGUAUGCAAGUCAUCUAUCACUUGAUUAUCAAGAUGAAUUUUUGUGAAAGACGCCAAAUAUGCAAUCAAUGGGCAUUCGGAGGAUCAAGGUAAUUCGCCAAAUGCACAUUUGAGUGCCUAGACAUAAUUUGUGAUUGUGAGUUGGUGUUUGAAUGCAAGAUGUGUCGCCCUGGAGUUUGCAAUAGAUAUGAAGUCCAUCUAUGGGACUUCGCUGGUAUCAUCUGCAUUUCUGAAUUAAUUUAUGAUAGUGUUUGGAAUAGCCCGGCCCUCCUCCGUCUUUGCUUAUGCUGAACAACAGAAUGGCAAUAGGAAUUUAUUUACAAAGUCCCAUGGAAGCUGUAUAAUGAUCAUAAGUUGAACGGCGGAGCAUACCCCCCCAAUCCCAUUUCAUUGUGGGCAUCGCAUCUUAUUAUUGUUUUGUUCUAUUUUUGGAGGUUGAAUGCUGUGGUGGAAUGGCAGGGUAAGCAGUUACUUUUUAAUUAAUUUGCUUAUGUCGAAUUGUUGGCAGCUUGGUUUUCUAAUGUCGGAUGAGAAAACGCUAUUUUGAUUAAUAAAUUGUAUUGUUAUCUUA